rnacentral:rRNA from 1 species
CCUACGGGAGGCAGCAGUGGGGAAUAUUGGACAAUGGGGGGAACCCUGAUCCAGCGACGCCGCGUGAGUGAAGAAGUAUUUCGGUAUGUAAAGCUCUAUCAGCAGGGAAGAAAGAAAUGACGGUACCUGACUAAGAAGCCCCGGCUAACUACGGGCCAGCAGCCGCGGGAAUACGUAGGGGGCAAGCGUUAACCGGAUUUACUGGGUGUAAAGGGAGCGUAGACGGGGAUGCAAGUCUGAAGUGAAAGGCGGGGGCCCAACCCCCGUACUGCUUUGGAAACUGUAUGGCUGGAGUGCAGGAGAGGUAAGUGGAAUUCCUAGUGUAGCGGUGAAAUGCGUAGAUAUUAGGAGGAACACCAGUGGCGAAGGCGGCUUACUGGACUGUAACUGACGUUGAGGCUCGAAAGCGUGGGGAGCAAACAGGAUUAGAUACCCCUGUAGUC